AUGAACGCUGGCGGCGUGCCUAAUACAUGCCAGUCGAGCGAACGGACGAGAAGCUUGCUUCUCUGAUGUUAGCGGCGGACGGGUGAGUAACACGUGGAUAACCUACCUAUAAGACUGGGAUAACUUCGGGAAACCGUAGCUAAUACCGGAUAAUAUUUUGAACCGCAUGGUUCAAAAGUGAAAGACGGUCUUGCUGUCACUUAUAGAUGGAUCCGCGCUGCAUUAGCUAGUUGGUAAGGUAACGGCUUACCAAGGCAACGAUGCAUAGCCGACCUGAGAGGGUGAUCGGCCACACUGGAACUGAGACACGGUGCAGACUCCUACGGGAGGCAGCAGUAGGGAAUCUUCCGCAAUGGGCGAAAGCCUGACGGAGCAACGCCGCGUGAGUGAUGAAGGUCUUCGGAUCGUAAAACUCUGUUAUUAGGGAAGAACAUAUGUGUAAGUAACUGUGCACAUCUUGACGGUACCUAAUCAGAAAGCCACGGCUAACUACGUG
rnacentral:rRNA from 1 species